rnacentral:misc_RNA from 1 species
GAAGAGCUCCGCAAAGGUUUCCUGAAACUGCGCCGAACGGUCCAGGAGCGGAUGAG